GGAGAAUCAUCAAUUUUGGCAACAAAGAAGCCUGGUGGAUGUUUGUUUACAGUCUGAUGAUGGGACAUCAUGCUCUGCAUCUUCAAAGUUUGCCUCCUCAUUAUUAUUCAUACCCAGUAAUGUGAAGUAUGCUCAUAUCUACUAUAACUGAACCAACCUGGUGCUCUUCAUUUAUGGAGGCUGUUGAGUCUGAAUGUUGGAUGUUGUGUAUCUCGUGUUCUCUGGGCUUUGUUGUCCUCAGUCUUUUCGCAGGAUCAGAAAACAAAACCAGGAGGUGCGUAAAUGUUUCUUCUCCAUGAUGUUUCUCCAAAUGUUUCUUCUGGAUGAUGAUAAGACUGUGACACGGGAUGCCACCUUUGGUCUUGUGAUGAAGCAAAGCUCAGGAAGAAGUGGGAUUAAAUGGUACCCACAUGUGUGCUGCUGAGAAGGAUGUACAGGGGCACCUGCAGCCAAAUCCAAGCCUCAGAGCAGAGCAGCAGUUUGUGCUCACAGAUGGUGACGGUGUGGAGAGACGGUGGUUUUCCUCAGAAGAACCAGCAGAGUCACAAAGGGCACCAGUCCAUCUCACCACCUUAACUUUCUGACUGAUGCUCGUCUGCACUGCACAGAGGAAAUCAGCUGAUCGAGGUUUGUCCAGUGACGUGUUAUGAAAUGUAUAUUUGUUUUAUGCUUACAGAUGUGUUUUUCUUGACAGAGGCUCUGCAGAGGUUAGACAAAGCAGAGAAAACAUGUGCUUUACAUUUUACUGUGAUUUAUUGAGAUAUUUGUUGCCUGAUGUUCAGCAGGAAUGGAGAAAUAGAAUCAAAGGGAGAAGUUUUUGCUGUUUUUGUAAUGAUGUAAGUAAAUCUUCAAUAUUAUUUAUUUGCUUGGUUAUAUUAGGAGUGUUUCUGAGUGAGGGGGGAGGAGUCAUCAUCCAGGUAAAGUGACGUGGAUCAGUGGAUACACGUGUCUCCCCUUUAAAGGAGACGAUCCAAGUCAUCCUUAAAUGUUAGUGCUUUCAAAUACACAAACAUUUUUAAAGGACAAAAAUGAACAUCCAACUUUGACUGUAAUACAAAAUAAAUCUUUGCAUGUGUGUUUUCAAACUCUCAGAUGGGCAGCAUAUCAGUCUUGGACUGUCUAACCUGCAGCACUGAAUGACCACCACACAUGAGCAUGUUCCUGCAACAUUCAGCAUCUGAUCCUUCAUCUGUGUGCUGCUGCUUUUGUGUCACAUGUCAAACAGCUGGAGAGGAAACUACACCAGUGUACUGGGAUGUUUCACCAACACGUGCCAGAUGCUGUUCCUUCAUGGUGACAUCACCAGAGACAGCCCCGCCCACCUCAGGACCUCGCCAUUGAUCAUGAUGAUUAUAAUGAUGACAGCGAGCGGAACUAAGACUGUAAAAAUCCACGACCAGAAUGUUUCUUUCUAAUUAUGAAUGAAUACUGAGAGCCUCUUUCUGUGUUUUGUCUGUUUUGUUUUUUUACCUCAUUUGUUUCUAACAAAGUUCACAAACUCACACAGUUUACAUUCUGUAUGUUUCCAUCUUUACCAGCCACACUAACUGCAUUUAAGAAAAUAAUCCUUAGAAAUCGUCGUUUUUCUCUUUUGUAAUUGAUGAUAAUUCAGUGAAUAUACUGCGCUGCUUCCUUUUAUUGCGUCUCACAUUGCUUUAAGUUUUUCAGUGUCGUUAUUUUUUACUGCUGUUUGAAUUCUCUGUAUGUUUGACCCUGUAGACUGUUUGAUGGACUGCUUGCCUUCCUGUUUGUAACCGCCGCCUGUUUUUUAAUAAAGAUUUGGAUUUCUGACUUCAA
ensembl:lncRNA